rnacentral:lncRNA from 1 species
AUGGUAAAAGUACAAAGGAUUUUCCUGAGGCACAUUGAAGUUAAGAGACUUGACCAGUCUGCUGAAGAAAGCAACACUGCAAAGUGCAGAAGAAAGGGUGCUGCUUCCUGGAAGUGGCAGAGGACUCUCCCUUGGUGGUCUGGACAUGUUUACCCCAAGGCAUCUGGAGAGCUGAAGGUGAUCUCAGCAGGAGAAUGAGUUCCAUCCCCAAAUCAUCCCACAGGAAAUAACCAACAUAGCUUCAUUGCUCACUGCACUGUCACCACGACAUCCCCCUCCUAACCCUGAUCCUUCUUUCCAUGAAGAUUCACAUUCCAAAGUAGGUAUGUGUCAUUCCUGGGCUAAUCUCCUUCUGAUGAGGGAAACAGAAAGAAUUUUCACUAGGACGUUUCAAGGAUCCUAUUCAAGCUUCUCUGGAUAGUUCUAAUAUGGACAUAGUCAUUUGUAUGUUGUGUCCCCUUUUCAAUUGUGAGCUUGAAAGCAGGGACACUGUUCCUGCUUCUCUUUGUAUCCCCAGUGUUUAUCACUCCACCAGGCCCAAAGUAGGUUAAGCCAUAGCGAGCUUAAGAAAUGGAUUUGUUGACUUACUUAGAGCUGGAAUACCUGGCUUUCAAAUGAUACCUCCCAGCAUACAUACCUCCACUAUUUGUUGGUAUAGGAGAAAGGUGAAAUGUUUUAGAAUGAGAGGUGCAAGGCAUAAACUUUGCCUCAGGGAAUAAAUGUGAAGAGAGUGGAACA